rnacentral:pre_miRNA from 1 species
CUUCUACUCCCUCCGUUCGGAAUUACUUGUCUCGGAAAUGGAUGUAUCUAGAACUAAAAUACGUCUAGAUACAUCCAUUUUCACGACAAGUAAUUCCGAACGGAGGGAGUAGUAG